CUAAAGGCUGUUUUGUGCCCCCUAAAUCUGUCUCUUCCCUACGUAGAAUAGUCCCCACAUAGAAAAGUCCACAAGGACAGGACAUUAAAUGUGACCUGAUCAGAUUGGCAUGUAAUAUAAUGAGAGAGAUUGUAUUGCUUGCCUGUAAGUUUUUAUUUUUUUUAUUCACGUGGUAUAUUGUUCUUCAUGAGUAGAUACUUCAAAAUCUUAUUUAGUUUAUAUGCUAG